rnacentral:rRNA from 1 species
GACGAACGCUGGCGGCGUGCCUAACACAUGCAAGUCGAGCGGAGACAUGUUGCGGAAGUUUUCGGAUGGAAGCGAUAUGUUUUAGCGGCGGACGGGUGAGUAACGCGUGAGCAACCUUUCCUUCACAGGGGAAUAACGCACCGAAAGGUGCACUAAUACCGCAUGAGACCACAGCUCUGCAUGGUACAGGGGUAAAAACUCCGGUGGUAUGAGAUGGAUCCGCGUCUGAUUAGCUAGUUGGUAAGGUAACGGCUUACCAAGGCAACGAUCAGUAGCCGACCUGAGAGGGUGACCGGCCACAUUGGGACUGAGACACGGCCCAA